rnacentral:rRNA from 1 species
GUCUUUUAAUUGAAGGCUGGAAUAAAUGAGGGGACGACACUUUAGCUUUCUUUGGGUUUUAAUAGAAAUUGAUAUUUGCUUUAAAAAGCGCAACUUUUUAGGGGGACGAUAAGACCCUGUAAAACUUAAUUUAAUACUUUUUUAUUGAUUUGGGAUUAUUUUAGAGGGAAAAAGAAUUGAGCUGGGGCGGKUAUUAAUUAACUUUAAUAAAGUUAACACUUUUAAGUGAGGUGGCAGAUCUUAACAGAGAUAUAGAAUAAGUUACUUCAGGGAUAACAGCACAAUUUUUCCGAACAGAUCUCAUGGAAGGAGAAGACUUGUGACCUCGAYGKUGAAWWNAAAGGCWKCGUUCGAGUAUAAACGAGCGUGGGGAGUCUGUUCGACUCUUAAU